UACGUAGGGUGCGAGCGUUGUCCGGAAUUAUUGGGCGUAAAGGGCUCGUAGGCGGUCUGUUGCGUCGGGAGUGAAAACUCAGGGCUUAACCCUGAGCCUGCUUCCGAUACGGGCAGACUAGAGGUAUGCAGGGGAGAACGGAAUUCCUGGUGUAGCGGUGAAAUGCGCAGAUAUCAGGAGGAACACCGGUGGCGAAGGCGGCAUCCUGGACCGACACUGACGCUGAGGAGCGAAAGCCAGGGGAGCAAACGGG
rnacentral:rRNA from 1 species